CUUUGGUGGUUUAGUACGAGGAAAACACCCGUUCCCAUCCCGAACACGGCCGUAAAGACUUUGUACAGCGACAAUACUUAGCUCGAGAGGGCUUGGGAAGAUAGCUUUCUGCCAAGGU
rnacentral:rRNA from 1 species